AACGAACGCUGGCGGCAUGCCUAACACAUGCAAGUCGAACGAGACAUUCGGGUUUACUGGCGGAUGGAUGCGUAACGGGUGGGAAACUGCCCUUGGAUUUGGAAUAACUUCCCGGAUAGGGUCCUGAUACGGGCGAUUGUCUCCGGAACAACGUUUGAAUGACUUUGGAUGGGCCUUGGUUGGAUUAGCUAGUUGGUAGGGUAAAAGCCUACCAAGGCGAGGUUCGAUAAAUGGUUUGAGAGGAUGAUCAGCCACACUGGGACUGAGACACGGCCCAGACUCCUACGGGAGGCAGCAGUGGGGAAUACUGGACAGUGGGCGAAAGCCUGAUCGUGCUAUGACGCGUGAGUGAUGAAGGCCUUAGGGUUGGAAAGCUCUUUUACCCGUGAUGAUAAUGACGGUACCGGCAGAAUAAGCUCCGGCUAACUCCGUG
rnacentral:rRNA from 1 species